UGACCGGUUCCUCUCUUCGGGGAGCUAAAAGGCCAUGCGGACAGCCGGGUCAAAUGCCGA
rnacentral:sRNA from 1 species